AGAUGCGCUGGCUUUUAAAUAAAUUAUAAUAAAGUCAUAGAUUACGUCAUAUUCAGCGUGUUCCUCACCUGCGAACCGAGGUAACUCCUUGUCUAAAAGCAUUGCCAGCCUUCCUUUGCUCCUUCAUGUGUUGUUCUUGCCAGGUUUCCUCAGUGUUUAAACGUGCUCCCGAAUUUAGGUAUCACCAGCAACUCUCUGAAAAAGAAAAGAGAAGUUACACAGAAAAAGCAAAGGCCCGGUGUCUCCCUGCUGCCAGUGCCCCGAGCGCAGCCUGCCCUGCCCUGCCACGGCUGUGGGCACUGUGGCGGCACGGACCAGGGCCCACACAGUUCAUGUUCCCGUCAGAACCAAGCUACACAGUGAGGUGAUGACUGAAAUGUAUGGGUGACCCUUACCAGGCAAUGUUUUCUUCAUCUCUUCUGACCUAGAAUUCCUUUUUGACCCAGCCAUCCAGGAGCAGCAAUACAGUUGCAGUUUCCCAGUUGAACAGCUGAGAUCCCAUUAUUCUGCGUGGUGCAGCAUGCAGAGUUCUGAGUGCUUCUAUUCAUCGUGUGAAAUCUGCAGCAACGUGUUAGGAUGGAUCAUGGAUGAGCCUCAGGAUGCUCAGGACAGUGAGUGUGCAGCCUGCCUAUGUUGCCUCCUCUUCACAUGAAAACCUUUGAUCUUAUAUCACCUAGAGGAUUACUUGCGGUAACGAGGAAGCCAUGAGAAAUUUUAAUUUUGUAAUUUAAACACAUUUUCUUGUGCUUUAGAGCCUGAGUGCAGUGUUUUCAUCUGCAGAAAUAAAGGAACAUUUGUGUAUAAACGUGAGAACUGAGAAUCAGGACUGUGUAUGCAGGAGGGGGAUUUCAGCUCUCUCCUGCUUCCUUUACUCUGCCAAAUUUGAAGUAUGCAUUUUUGAAGCCAGGCUCAUGGACCAAAUGUUAUGCAGCUAAACUCAUUUUACUAUGACUAAGUCGUUCAAAGUUACUACUGAUCUAUGUUGGUUUAAUUAUAGAUUUUCAUGGACUCAUUCCAGAUGGGGCCUAGAUAAAGCAUCAGAAUUUUGUCAUAGGACUUGAUUUGUUAUACAAAGUGUCAUGAAUAUAAUGGCACUGAAUAAAUAAUUUACAGUAGCACGUGUCUCCUCUUAUUUAUAGAGUAUAAAUUGAGAGUUUUACUAAUUUUAUAAAGUUAGUGUGAACAUAUAGAGGGAAAUGUACCAUUCUGGGAGGGCAUGCAGUAUAUUGAAAAUAAGAGAUUAAAAGUGGGAAAUGCAAGCAUUGAAAAUGAAAUUCUUAUAUAAGAUUUAGAUUAGUAAGGACUGUGAAUAGAAUAGUGCAGAUCUGUGGAGUCCAGAUCUCGUAAGACUUACUCAAGUGUGCUUUAAAUCAUGCUGCCAAGACUUACAGUUCUUGGAAGUUCUGAAAGAUCCAGUAACAGACAUUCGACCGUAUUUUUUACUGCCGUUUAAAGUUAUACUGUAUGCAUCUUGAGAGCCCUAGAUAAAGUACAAAUAAAACAAGUAAACAAUUCUAAGAUUUACUAUCUCCAUUGAGAAAUUCAAAUAAAGAGCAAAAUAGUCAAAGCAGUGGUUAAAGAAUGGGAAUCUUUUUUUCUAAUCUCAGCAAAUGACAGGAUGACAAAGAACAAAACUUGAAGAGUACAAAAGGUGAAAAGGAUGUAACAAGGUUGGUCUAAACAUUGGCAUUAAAAUUACAAUGCACAGACGGAUAUGCAGAUUUGAAACUAAACCAUUUUAAUCUUAUAUAUAGAAUAGAAUGACUAUGUGCCAUCUGGAAUUCAGGGAAUCCAAUGAAAGUGGAGGUGUAAACAAUACACACAGCAAUACCAACAUCUGUUUUCAGUGCUUGCUGAUAUAUAUGAGUCUUUGAGGGAUAAGUUGGAGAAAAUAAGUUAGAAAUUGAUAAACCUCAUGAUAGAAAAUGGAUCACACAUAAUUGUAUUUGUUUAGAAAGAAUUUGGAUUUACUCAUGCUAAAAAUAAAUAGCGCAUACAAU